rnacentral:rRNA from 1 species
GAUGAACGCUGGCGGCGUGCCUAAUACAUGCAAGUCGAGCGAACAGACGAGGAGCUUGCUCCUCUGACGUUAGCGGCGGACGGGUGAGUAACACGUGGAUAACCUACCUAUAAGACUGGGAUAACUUCGGGAAACCGAGCUAAUACCGGAUAAUAUAUUGAACCGCAUGGUUCAAUAGUGAAAGACGGUUUUGCUGUCACUUAUAGAUGGAUCCGCGCCGCACUAGCUAGUUGGUAAGGUAACGGCUUACCAAGGCAACGAUGCGUAGCCGACCUGAGAGGGUGAUCGGCCACACUGGAACUGAGACACGGUCCAGACUCCUACGGGAGGCAGCAGUAGGGAAUCUUCCGCAAUGGGCGAAAGCCUGACGGAGCAACGCCGCGUGAGUGAUGAAGGUCUUCGGAUCGUAAAACUCUGUUAUUAGGGAAGAACAAAUGUGUAAGUAACUAUGCACGUCUUGACGGUACCUAAUCAGAAAGCCCCGGCUAACUACGUG